GCUGGGCACAGUGUCCCACGCCUGUAAUUCCAGCAGCUGAGGAGGCUGAGGCAGGAGGAUCACUAGUUCAAGGCCAACUUCAGCAAAAAGCAAGGCGCUAAACAAAUCGGUGAGACCCUGUCUCUA
rnacentral:sRNA from 1 species